rnacentral:lncRNA from 1 species
CCAUCACCACGCCCGGCUAAUUUUUUGUAUUUUUAGUAGAGACGGGGUUUCACCAUGUUAGCCAGGAUGGUCUCGAUCUCCUGACCUCGUGAUCCGCCUGCCUCGGCCUCCCAAAGUGCUGGGAUUACAGGCGUGAGACACUGCACCCGGCCUACUCUUUUUUUUGUCCGAGAAACAUUCACGAAUAAUUUCUUUCUAUAUAGAAUACCAGUUCUUUCAGCUGUAAUAUCCUCUUGUUAUACUGGAGCCCCGUUGGUAUGAUGAGAAACUGUGGAGGCGGUGAAGCAUUCUACAACCUUCCAAUUAAGUCUCAGCCUUUUACCUGACUUGCAUCUUUGACCUGUGAUCACCGAGAAUCAAAAGGGAAGUGUUUCUUCUUGUAUAGUUUCUCCCCUCCCAAUUAGGUGAGGAACGCUAGAGGGGGCUAUGGUGAGAUCUCUGGGACAAGGCUCUGGUAAAGUACUUUCCUCUGAAGACAAGGCCUUUGCUAUGGAGAAGGUUCUGGACAUAUUUUACCAAGAUUAUCCGUCUACUCUCCCUACCUAAGCCACAAGGGUACCUUUGUUGACUCUUCGCGGUGAGAACCUAGUGGGGAUCCUGGAGAUAAAGUCAAUGAAAAUAUGGUGGCCCCAAGGAGUUUCUCAGUCUCAAGCCAGUCUACACUCAGCCUCCAGAAACUUGUCAAAAUUACUAAGUGUUCCUACCAGUUUAUGGCUCCAGUGACUUCUAUUUUAGGUGACUGCUCCACUUCCCCACUAUGAUCAGGCCUGCUUGGGGAGGUCUUCUGCUCCCAUCGUAGACUGAGCUUCUGCUCAGCUCAGAGCAUAUGACCAUUGCUGGACUUCUGAAAUCUAAAUCAGAUCAUCACUGCAGCUAAUAGAUGCUGGCCUUUUUUGCAGUGAGUUACCUCUAAUAUACACUUACUGAAAGCACACAUCUUCACAGCUGAAAAUAAAAAUAAAAUAUAUUCCAUUACAAUUUUGGUGACAUCUCUCCUAGCAGAUCUUGUAAGCUGUAUUUCCCAAGCAAUACCGCUUUUGAUCACUUUCUCAAUUCCUCACAUGAAAUAUUCAUUGUAGUGAAAUGUCUUAGUAAGGCAGGUUUAAGAGAGAAGAGGGAAAACAAAUACUGAACCAUGUUCCAAGAAUAUGGUAAAAACAAAAGAAGCAAAAGAAAGAUGG